rnacentral:lncRNA from 1 species
ACCAGUUGAUGAUAUAUCCAAUACACCAGUUACUAAUAUAAGAGGUCAGUCUGAUGUAGCUAAACCCAUUAGUUCACUACCUGAUGAUGUUCAAGGAUAUGCUGACAAUAUGA